rnacentral:rRNA from 1 species
GCGUGACGGGUACUGUACAUGCAGUCGAACGCUUCUUUCCUCCCGAGUGCUUGCACUCAAUUGGAAAGAGGAGUGGCGGACGGGUGAGUAACACGUGGGUAACCUACCCAUCAGAGGGGGAUAACACUUGGAAACAGGUGCUAAUACCGCAUAACAGUUUAUGCCGCAUGGCAUAAGAGUGAAAGGCGCUUUCGGGUGUCGCUGAUGGAUGGACCCGCGGUGCAUUAGCUAGUUGGUGAGGUAACGGCUCACCAAGGCCACGAUGCAUAGCCGACCUGAGAGGGUGAUCGGCCACACUGGGACUGAGACACGGCCCAGACUCCUACGGGAGGCAGCAGUAGGGAAUCUUCGGCAAUGGACGAAAGUCUGACCGAGCAACGCCGCGUGAGUGAAGAAGGUUUUCGGAUCGUAAAACUCUGUUGUUAGAGAAGAACAAGGACGUUAGUAACUGAACGUCCCCUGACGGUAUCUAACCAGAAAGCCACGGCUAACUACGUGCCAGCAGCCGCGGUAAUACGUAGGUGGCAAGCGUUGUCCGGAUUUAUUGGGCGUAAAGCGAGCGCAGGCGGUUUCUUAAGUCUGAUGUGAAAGCCCCCGGCUCAACCGGGGAGGGUCAUUGGAAACUGGGAGACUUGAGUGCAGAAGAGGAGAGUGGAAUUCCAUGUGUAGCGGUGAAAUGCGUAGAUAUAUGGAGGAACACCAGUGGCGAAGGCGGCUCUCUGGUCUGUAACUGACGCUGAGGCUCGAAAGCGUGGGGAGCAAACAGGAUUAGAUACCCUGGUAGUCCACGCCGUAAACGAUGAGUGCUAAGUGUUGGAGGGUUUCCGCCCUUCAGUGCUGCAGCAAACGCAUUAAGCACUCCGCCUGGGGAGUACGACCGCAAGGUUGAAACUCAAAGGAAUUGACGGGGGCCCGCACAAGCGGUGGAGCAUGUGGUUUAAUUCGAAGCAACGCGAAGAACCUUACCAGGUCUUGACAUCCUUUUGACCACUCUAGAGAUAGAGCUUUCCCUUCGGGGACAAAGUGACAGGUGGUGCAUGGUUGUCGUCAGCUCGUGUCGUGAGAUGUUGGGUUAAGUCCCGCAACGAGCGCAACCCUUUAUUGUUAGUUGCCAUCAUUUAAGUUGGGCACUCUAACCGAGAUUGCCGGUGACAAACCGGAAGAAAGUGGGGGAUGACGUCAAAUCAUCAUGGCCCCUUAUGACCUGGGGCUACCACCGUUGUUACAAUGGGGAAGUACAACCAAGUCCGUUGGACCGCGAAGGUCAUGCGAAUCUCUUUAAAGCUUCCCUCCAAUUCCGGAUUGCAGGGCGGGAACUCCUCCCGGUUGAACCCCGGAA